rnacentral:sRNA from 1 species
GGCACGCUACUCUGAACAUCGUGGGAGCAGACUGCACGAAAAACAUGGGGAUUUCAUACAUUUUGAAAUAGAGCCACCAGCGAUUAAAUUUUAUAUCGUGCUGUAUACUCCAGAAAACCCCAUCUGAGAUUGAUGUCGCCUCUUUUCUAACAUGAGCGCCACAGAACUGGACGUGGAUGAACUAAUACUUCCAUCAAGAACUGUUGGGAGGGAGCGGUACCCCGGAUGAAACUGGUCGUCCUCUGAAUCAACCAUCUCUAGUAACACGUGAUAUAUACAUGAACUCUCUCACCAAAUGUCAAUUUCUAUGUGGACAAUCUUCAAAGAAAGUAAAUAAGUCACACAAACGUAAACGUAUUUUGUUUUAGUUUUGUCAGAGUAAAUAUCCUAUUGACACAUCUAUCGAGGUUAUUGUUAUUGGAGAGAGAAAAUAAUCUUAUAAACUAUGUUUAUAGGGAAGUCCUGAAGAAACGUGGACUUUUGUUUUUAUGAUACUGAAAAUUUUCAUAUCCACUUUAGAUAUUGUUAGAAAAUCAAAACAGUUUCUUUGCAACAGAGCUUUCAUCAUAUACCAGAUCCGUUUACUUAAAUUCAUUUAAAUAGCCUGAUUGAAUUUAUUUUAAUUCACAAUUGAAAAGAUUUUGAUUCUAUAUAUGUAAAAAAAAAAUCUGAAAGUUUCCCCAAUUUGUGGUUUUUCUAAGCCAACUGGGUAUAUCAAUUUAAGACUGUUCCUAUAUAGAUUUUCUUUCAUCAUGACCUCAGAAGUCUUAGUUUAGACAAUCAAAACAUCUAAACUCCACUGUCACUUGCUUUGAUUUGAAUUUAACAAAUUGAACUUUUUCUGUUAGUUCUUUAGAUGUUCAAUUAUUUUUAUGUAAAUUCUUGUAAGGUAGUUAAAUUUAUCAUCUCCUACCCAACUUUUUCGAACUCUAUUGUAAAUGCAAUUUAAAAAAAAAAACACAAAAAAACAAUCAUAUGAUUCUACAUCCAUACCAAUAAUAGAUGCGUGUGUCCAAUUCUUUAAAUGCAGUUGAUUUUAGAAUUGGGUGCACCUUUACUGCCAAUUGUGACUUCUUACUAGUAUGGAUAGCUUUACCUAAAAACCAUUCGUUUUAUUUGCUUAACAUGUUGCCUGCCUAUUAUAAAAAUAAACUUGCAAUUGG